UCUUAUCUUAUUCUUCCCUACACAAAGCCCUAAAAACUAGUUAAAACCCAUAUGCAUGUAGCACCAACAGCAGUACCCAUAUUUCAUAGCAUUGAAAGGAAAAUAGAAUAAAUACAGUUAUGUCCAUUGAAAUGUUGGUGUUGUUCUAGAUAUAUACUAUUAUUAUAUUAUUAAUACUAACUAAUUAUAUAAAAUUGUUCUUCAUAAAAAUGCCAAAAUAUCUGCUUCAAGUCCUACACUACGCUACACUUACACGGAUGUGAGGUUGUAUGGAAGGUCUAAAUCUAAUUCCAUUAAUAAAUGUGAGGUUGCAUGAAGGUCUAAAUGUAAUUCCAUAAUAAAUGAGUGGU
rnacentral:lncRNA from 1 species